rnacentral:lncRNA from 1 species
GGCUUUUGUUGUGCAACCUGUGCUUAAUCUUAAUAGCUUGGAAGGCGAUUGGGGACCUUCAGGAUUAGACCCGUGGACAAGCUGGAGGGAUGGGACGGGAUCCACAGCUGGGGAUGCUGUGGGGCGUAGUCAAAGGUGUUUCAGUUCUGAUGAGGAAAGUGAUGAGGAAACGCCUGGAAUUAGGGUAACAGCUGAUAGUGAUGAGGAGCUGUAAACUGGCA